UGUGAUGAUCCCACAUGGGUGCAGUGA
rnacentral:piRNA from 1 species